rnacentral:rRNA from 1 species
CGAAUGCUGACAUAAGUAACGAUAAAGCGGGUGAAAAGCCCGCUCGCCGGAAGACCAAGGGUUCCUGUCCAACGUUAAUCGGGGCAGGGUGAGUCGACCCCUAAGGCGAGGCCGAAAGGCGUAGUCGAUGGGAAACAGGUUAAUAUUCCUGUACUUGGUGUUACUGCGAAGGGGGGACGGAGAAGGCUAUGUUGGCCGGGCGACGGUUGUCCCGGUUUAAGCGUGUAGGCUGGUUUUCCAGGCAAAUCCGGAAAAUCAAGGCUGAGGCGUGAUGACGAGGCACUACGGUGCUGAAGCAACAAAUGCCCUGCUUCCAGGAAAAGCCUCUAAGCAUCAGGUAACAUUAAAUCGUACCCCAAACCGACACAGGUGGUCAGGUAGAGAAUACCAAGGCGCUUGAGAGAACUCGGGUGAAGGAACUAGGCAAAAUGGUGCCGUAACUUCGGGAGAAGGCACGCUGAUAUGUAGGUGAAGUCCCUCGCGGAUGGAGCUGAAAUCAGUCGAAGAUACCAGCUGGCUGCAACUGUUUAUUAAAAACACAGCACUGUGCAAACACGAAAGUGGACGUAUACGGUGUGACGCCUGCCCGGUGCCGGAAGGUUAAUUGAUGGGGUUAGCGGUAACGCGAAGCUCUUGAUCGAAGCCCCGGUAAACGGCGGCCGUAACUAUAACGGUCCUAAGGUAGCGAAAUUCCUUGUCGGGUAAGUUCCGACCUGCACGAAUGGCGUAAUGAUGGCCAGGCUGUCUCCACCCGAGACUCAGUGAAAUUGAACUCGCUGUGAAGAUGCAGUGUACCCGCGGCAAGACGGAAAGACCCCGUGAACCUUUACUAUAGCUUGACACUGAACAUUGAGCCUUGAUGUGUAGGAUAGGUGGGAGGCUUUGAAGUGUGGACGCCAGUCUGCAUGGAGCCGACCUUGAAAUACCACCCUUUAAUGUUUGAUGUUCUAACGUUGACCCGUAAUCCGGGUUGCGGACAGUGUCUGGUGGGUAGUUUGACUGGGGCGGUCUCCUCCUAAAGAGUAACGGAGGAGCACGAAGGUUGGCUAAUCCUGGUCGGACAUCAGGAGGUUAGUGCAAUGGCAUAAGCCAGCUUGACUGCGAGCGUGACGGCGCGAGCAGGUGCGAAAGCAGGUCAUAGUGAUCCGGUGGUUCUGAAUGGAAGGGCCAUCGCUCAACGGAUAAAAGGUACUCCGGGGAUAACAGGCUGAUACCGCCCAAGAGUUCAUAUCGACGGCGGUGUUUGGCACCUCGAUGUCGGCUCAUCACAUCCUGGGGCUGAAGUAGGUCCCAAGGGUAUGGCUGUUCGCCAUUUAAAGUGGUACGCGAGCUGGGUUUAGAACGUCGUGAGACAGUUCGGUCCCUAUCUGCCGUGGGCGCUGGAGAACUGAGGGGGGCUGCUCCUAGUACGAGAGGACCGGAGUGGACGCAUCACUGGUGUUCGGGUUGUCAUGCCAAUGGCACUGCCCGGUAGCUAAAUGCGGAAGAGAUAAGUGCUGAAAGCAUCUAAGCACGAAACUUGCCCCGAGAUGAGUUCUCCCUGACCCUUUAAGGGUCCUGAAGGA